GAUGAACGCUGGCGGCGUGCCUAAUACAUGCAAGUCGAGCGAACGGACGAGAAGCUUGCUUCUCUGAUGUUAGCGGCGGACGGGUGGGUAACACGUGGAUAAGCUACCUAUAAGACUGGGAUAACUUCGGGAAACCGGUGCUAAUACUGGAUAAUAUUUUGAACCGCAGGGUUCAAAAGUGAUAGACGGUCUUGCUGUCACUUAUAGAUGGAUCCGCGCUGCAUUAGCUAGUUGGUAAGGUAACGGCUUACCAAGGCAACGAUGCGUAGCCGACCUGAGAGGGUGAUCGGCCACACUGGAACUGAGACAUGGUCCAGACUCCUACGGGAGGCAGCAGUAGGGAAUCUUCCGCAAUGGGCGAAAGCCUGACGGAGCCACGCCGCGUGAGUGAUGAAGGUCUUCGGAUCGUAAAACUCUUUUAUUAGGGAAGAACAGAUGUGUAAGUAACUGUGCACAUCUUGACGGUACCUAAUCAGAAAGCCACGGCUAACUACGUG
rnacentral:rRNA from 1 species